GACGAACGCUGGCGGCGUGCUUAACACAUGCAAGUCGAACGAAAAGCGACGGAAGUUGGCUUCUACUAGUCUGAGGGGCGGACGGGUGAGUAACGCGUAAUCAACCUGUCCCUCAGAGGGGGACUACAGAAGGUAACGAUAGCUAAUACUACAUACGACUUAAUCAUGGCAUGGAGGAGGGAUGAAAGGCGGCCGCUACAUGUAUGCUAGCACUUCAGGAGGGGAGUGCGGCGGAUUAGUUAGGUGGCGGGGUAACGGACCACCAAGGCGAGGAUCAGUAGCCGGACGGAGAUGAUGGGCGGCCGCAUUGGGACGGGGACAGGCCCCAGACUGCUUGGGGUGGGAGCAGGAGGGAAACUGCCGGAAUGGAUGAAAGUCUGACGACGCAACGCCGAGGGAGUGAUGACGGCCGUCGGGUUGUGAAGGUCUGUUAAUCGGGAGGAAAGGCCUUCUUGCGAAUAGGGAGAGGGAUUGACGGUACCGGGAUAAGAAGCCACGGCUAACUACGUG
rnacentral:rRNA from 1 species